UAGAGUUUGAUCAUGGCUCAGGACGAACGCUGGCGGCGUGCCUAAUACAUGCAAGUUGAGCGCUGAAGGUUGGUACUUGUACCAACUGGAUGAGCAGCGAACGGGUGAGUAACGCGUGGGGAAUCUGCCUUUGAGCGGGGGACAACAUUUGGAAACGAAUGCUAAUACCGCAUAAAAACUUUAAACACAAGUUUUAAGUUUGAAAGAUGCAAUUGCAUCACUCAAAGAUGAUCCCGCGUUGUAUUAGCUAGUUGGUGAGGUAAAGGCUCACCAAGGCGAUGAUACAUAGCCGACCUGAGAGGGUGAUCGGCCACAUUGGGACUGAGACACGGCCCAAACUCCUACGGGAGGCAGCAGUAGGGAAUCUUCGGCAAUGGACGAAAGUCUGACCGAGCAACGCCGCGUGAGUGAAGAAGGUUUUCGGAUCGUAAAACUCUGUUGGUAGAGAAGAACGUUGGUGAGAGUGGAAAGCUCAUCAAGUGACGGUAACUACCCAGAAAGGGACGGCUAACUACGUGCCAGCAGCCGCGGUAAUACGUAGGUCCCGAGCGUUGUCCGGAUUUAUUGGGCGUAAAGCGAGCGCAGGUGGUUUAUUAAGUCUGGUGUAAAAGGCAGUGGCUCAACCAUUGUAUGCAUUGGAAACUGGUAGACUUGAGUGCAGGAGAGGAGAGUGGAAUUCCAUGUGUAGCGGUGAAAUGCGUAGAUAUAUGGAGGAACACCGGUGGCGAAAGCGGCUCUCUGGCCUGUAACUGACACUGAGGCUCGAAAGCGUGGGGAGCGAACAGGAUUAGAUACCCUGGUAGUCCACGCC
rnacentral:rRNA from 1 species